rnacentral:rRNA from 1 species
GGUAAGGAAAGAUUUAUCGCUUUAGGAUGGGUCCGCGGGCCAUCAGCUAGUUGGUGAGGUAAAGGCUCACCAAGGGCAACGAACGGCUAGCCGGCCUGAGAGGGUGAACGGGCACAGGGGUACUGAGACACGGACCCCACUCCUACGGGAGGCAGCAGUUAGGAAUCUUCCACAAUGGGCGCAAGCCUGAUGGAGCGACACUGCGUGAGGGAAGAAGGCUUUCGGGUUGUAAACCUCUAAAAGUAGGACGAUAAUGACGGUACUACUUGAGAAGCACCGGCUAACUCCGUGCCAGCAGCCGCGGUAAUACGGAGGGUGCAAACGUUAUCCGGAAUCACUGGGCGUAAAGGGCACGCAGGCGGUUAGUUAAGUCUGAUGUUAAAGCGUGGGGCUCAACCCCAUACGGGCGUUGGAUACUGGCUAACUAGACUCUUGGAGAGGUAAGUACGAAUUACCAGUGUAGCGGUGGAAUGCGUAGAUACUUGGUAGGAAUACCAAUAGCGAAGGCAGCUUACUAGACAAUGAGUGACGCUGAGGUGCGAAAGUGUGGGGAGCGAACCGGAUUAGAUACCCGGGUAGUCCACCCCCUAAACGAUGCAUACUUGGU